GAGCCAAAUGCAGUGCUUGCUUCCUAUCUGUGGUCCAUUGCAUAGCAGUGUGCUUGGGUGCUGCGUAAGACAAUUCCCCCCAACGCCUCCAAAAAAUAGGACAUGGUCCACUGCAGGAGUUCAUAAUCUAGGAGUCCAGAGAGUCCAGGCUCAUCAUCCCUUCAGGAUAUUAGAAAACCACCCAAUGGAACUGAUAAAAAUGAGUUGGAACUUGUGACCAGCAGCUGGAUGAGAGGAGUGUGAAUCCCCCAAAUCUUAUGGAUAUAGUGUGCUUUCUUUGAUGUUCCUGCCAAAGUGAGGCUGGAAAGCUAGGAAGAUCUGUAAGACGUGUGCCAGCACAAAGUGACUACAAUUCAAAAGUUCCAAAAACCUUGCUUGAAACAAUUGCAAAUAGCUCAUCAUUUUAAACCAGUGAACCCAAGGCUGAGUGUUUCAUCAAUUUACAGAAAACCAAGAAGAGAAAUCUGACAGCUAUCCCAGUGUAUGACUUACCAUGGAGAUCUUCAAAUAGAAUCACUUUGGUUUGGGUCUCAUUUUCAUAUUAUAACACAAAUUUGUGUAUGUGGGUUAAGAUUCAUAUUUGAUAGGAACUGCUGGGAAUUCUUGCAGUUAUAUCCUCAAAAGACAAAAUAAGCAUAACCAACAGAAUUGUGAAGCAAUAAAGUUGAUUAUGGAUGAAAA
rnacentral:lncRNA from 1 species